rnacentral:lncRNA from 1 species
AGGUUUUGAGCCAAGGAGUAACAGGAUCAGAUAACAUCCCUGGCCUCUGUUCGCUAGAUGCCAGUUAUGACCACUGAACAUGUCUCCAGAUGUUGCCAGAUGUCUCCUGGAGGGUGAAAUCUUCCCCUGGCUAAGAGAGACUGGUCUGCAGGGAGCCACAACUCAGCACCAGCUAAUGCUGCCCCGUGGGAAUGGAGACCCACUGCUCCUGAGUCUUCCCAUUCUUCAAUCUUUUCAUAUUUACUGUUGGCAAAUAAUGUUUUUUGGGUUGUUUUUGAGAAGUGGCAGUCAAAACCAUGUGUGACAGACAAAAGCACACCUGGGCCUCAGCUUGCAACCUUUAAGUUAGCAGUCUCUCACAAUCACCAAGGUGAGAAAUGGUCU